UACAGAGGUCUCAAGCGUUGUUCGGAUUCAUUGGGCGUAAAGGGUGCGUAGGUGGCGCGGUAAGUCGGGUGUGAAAUCUCGGAGCUUAACUCCGAAAUUGCAUUCGAUACUGCCGUGCUCGAGGACUGGAGAGGAGACUGGAAUUCAUGGUGUAGCAGUGAAAUGCGUAGAGAUCAUGAGGAAGACCAGUGGCGAAGGCGAAUCCCUGGAAAAUACCUGACACUGAGGCACGAAAGCUAGGGGAGCAAACAGG
rnacentral:rRNA from 1 species